rnacentral:lncRNA from 1 species
CUGCUCUCAACUGUGGAUAAAGGCCAGGUGAGUGGGAUUCCCAGCAGCAAGGGGUUAAUGGUUGAGAAGCUAAACCUCCUAGAGAAGUAAAUCUGUCUGCUGUAGAAAGUUUUGUCAGAACUUCUGGCUUCGCCUCUGCUCUGAGCCUCCUCUGGUCACGUGUUAAGAUAUUAGAGAACACCUGAAUCAAAGGGAAUCUAGCUGAACAACAGAUGCAAGAGCAACAGCUGUUUAAGUGAAAUUCUCAGCCAACUGUGUUGGGUGCCUGCAGAACCCUUCCUAAUGAGCUGCGCAGUGAUGCACUACGGGAUACAGAGAGGAAGUGAUCCAUGGGAGGGUAUUUCACGAGAAGGAGUCUAAGGUAAGAAAGAUAUGGAAGACUACUGUUCUGAUGUGCAUAAGCUAACUCAUAAAAGGGAGUGCCAGGAGGAAAGAAAGAAGUGGAAUCGAGCAGUGAUGGAACCACAGGAAAAUAGAUCUUUUCAGCUAACUAUAUUUCACGUAUAAUUUGGGAAGAAUGAAAAGUAAAUAGUGGUACUUAAUUUUGAAAGUAUUAAAGAACCUGAGAAAAGAAACAGAGACAGG